rnacentral:rRNA from 1 species
GACGAACGCUGGCGGCGUGCCUAAUACAUGCAAGUAGAACGCAGUUGCGAACGGGUGAUUAACGCGUAGGUAACUGCCUGGUAGCGGGGGAUAACUAUUGGAAACGAUAGCUAAUACCGCAUACUACCAGAUGGACCUGCGUUGUAUUAUCUAGUUGGUGGGGUAACGGCUCACCAAGGCAACGAUACAUAGCCGACCUGGGAGGGAGGUCGGCCAAAAUGGGACUGAGACAAGGCCCAGACGCCUACGGGAGGCAGCAGUAGGGAAUCAUCGGAAAUGGGGGGAAACCUGACCGAGCAACGCCGCGUGAGUGAAGAAGGUUGUCGGAUCGUAAAACUCUGUUGUUAAGGAAGCGGUACUUGACCAGAAAGGGACGGCUAACUACGUGCCAGCAGCCGCGGUAAUAC